GUCUACAGCCAUGCCACCUUGAACGUGCCCGAUCUCAUCUGAUCUCGAAAGCUAAGCAAGGUCAGACCUGGUUAGUACUUGGAUAGAAGAUCACCUACAAAUACCAGGUGCUGUAGGCA
rnacentral:rRNA from 1 species